UAUCUUUAAUCUUAGUGUGGUGAAGACAGUAAACCAGUCAUUCACAUUGCUCCAAUAGAAGCCCUAAUCAUCCGCAUAUAUAAAGCGUUUGAUGGCCUCAUCUCAGCAGAAAAAAUAGAGUGCUAACAGAUGAGCAACCCAGCAAGAAACCAGUCAAAUACACCCCCCAAAAAAGUCCUAUAAUCACGAUUUCAUUCUAGUCUGCUGUGAAUUGCUGUUUUUAUAUUCAAAUGGUUUCAUAUAUGAGUGAUUUUAGGUAUUGGUUUCAUUUCAAGGAUGUUAUUAAACUCAAGAGGCGGAACCAAGCUCUUCGGAUCCGGUCGCGAUUUCACAGAAUUUAUUCAUUUUAAAGCUUAUGCUCAGCUCACCUUCAACAAAGAAUGGAAUGGAAGAGCAUUAUCAAAGAGCACAAGAGGAACAACGCGGAGUGAGCAAAUGGAACAAAUGGAAGCACUCUGAGAGCAAUUCAAUAGGUUCUACUGUCUCCGAUCCACUCUAGCUUGUCCUCGGUCCUCUCGCUGUGGAGGUUGUAACUCAAAUACAACAAACUCAACUUGAGCUUGGAGAUUCAAUUGCAUGGUACAAGGCAGCCGGUGGUCUCAAGAAUGGAGGAUGUGUUUUGGGAUUUGGCUGUGAGACAAAAGAAUUCAAAAUUUGGACAAUCAUCUACACAUGUAGCUUGUGAGGAACAAAUUAAGCAAUUAAAGGAAGAG